CAUUAAAUGACUGAAAAGUAAGUUUUGAUUUUUUAAGUCAAGGAAUAGUAUAAUGACACAUACUUUUAAUGA
rnacentral:tRNA from 1 species